rnacentral:rRNA from 1 species
AGCGAACGCUGGCGGCAGGCCUAACACAUGCAAGUCGAACGAACCCUUCGGGGUUAGUGGCGGACGGGUGAGUAACACGUGGGAACGUGCCUUUAGGUUCGGAAUAACUCAGGGAAACUUGUGCUAAUACCGAAUGUGCCCUUCGGGGGAAAGAUUUAUCGCCUUUAGAGCGGCCCGCGUCUGAUUAGCUAGUUGGUGAGGUAAUGGCUCACCAAGGCUACGAUCAGUAGCUGGUCUGAGAGGAUGACCAGCCACAUUGGGACUGAGACACGGCCCAAACUCCUACGAGAGGCAGCAGUGGGGAAUCGUGCGCAAUGGGCGAAAGCCUGACGCAGCCAUGCCGCGUGGAUGAUGAAGGUCUUAGGAUUGUAAAAUCCUUUCACCGGUGAAGAUAAUGACUGUAGCCGGAGAAGAAGCCCCGGCUAACUUCGUGCCAGCAGCCGCAGUAACAC